rfam:Wuchereria bancrofti cont1.5201, whole genome shotgun sequence.
GCCUCAUUGGCUCAGGGGCAGAGCGUCUGUCUAGUAAACAGAAGGCCGCUGGUUCGAUUCCAGCAUGAGGCA